rnacentral:lncRNA from 1 species
GUAGUAUCAGCUACUUCUUCCCAUAGCUCUUUGUCCCAAAUGAUGUGAUCAGAGCAAGUUUGUCUUUGAUUGGGAAAAAAAAAAAAAAAAAAAAGAAUCCAUGCUGGAGCCAGCUUUACCUUCUGCCCUGCCAGGUAAGAAGCAAACCUUCUAGCAACUUCACCCUUGGAGUCCGAGAAGGAUGGGAAAUUCCCCUGGAAGCCCAGAAAGAACCGAGGCCAAACUCUGGGCUUUUUCUGAGCAAACAUUUUGAGAGAAACCAAAGUGAUGAUGAUGUGGAAGAGCGGCCGGGGCUGUCCCCUCGAACAGCAGCAAGACUGAUGAAAACACAGGGAUUAGAACAGAUGAAUCAUUGCCAGUCCUCUCCCUGACGGCGUUUGCUAGUGGCAACCCGAUAAAUACCGGAUCUCCGAAAGCGCUGACAAGCUACCCACCAGGCCUGGGAGUUAGAUGGCUUUUGAAAUUGGUGGGAGGAGAAAGCGGGGAGUGAAGACACGGAGGCGUACCCCCCCUUCCAGAAUUCACAUUCUUCCUUUUGAUACUAAAAGACUCAGGCCAAGUAACCUGCCAAAAUUCAUCAAGCUGUGUCGCUUCCCAACGCCCUGGUCCCUCGCCUGCACAGCUUCCUUAGACCUGGGAAGAAAGCAAGAUGUUCUGUGCAGGGUUAGAAAAGAGAGGAGCUCAACUUUGAAAGGGAGCGUGAAUCCAGGAGGACUUCGUGUGUCUCUAUCGCUUGACAUAGAUCUUAAGAGAAGGGUGUGAUUUCCCCCAGGUGGAUUGGGGGAGGGCAUUUUGGAGAGGGAGAACACAUAGGGAACGUGCCUGGUGUGCUGGGUGGGUGGUUGGGUCAGAAGGUCAGGCGAGUGCGGGACAGAGGGGGCCCAUGUGAAGGGUGGUUCCACAUGGAUGGACGUGAACACGGGCCGUCAGGCGUGGGGGUCUGUGCGCACACAGCUGGCACUGCAGAGCUCAGAGGAGGAUUUUCAGGUGGAGCCUGGCUAGAGAAGUUUCCCAUUAUCCCCAGAGCCUCUGCGGCUGAGAGAAGGAGGAGUCAAGAACACAGGUUUUGGGUUAAACUGGCUUCAGUUUGAGGCCUAACCCUACCGUGAAUUAGUUAUCAUCUUGGGCAAGAGGCUCAUCCUCUUACAUGAGGAUCCUCAUCAUCCUUCUAACACUUAGAACAGGCCUGGCAUACAGUAAGUGCUUAGUAUAAGUUAACAAUGAUGAUGAUGAUGAUGAUGAUGAUGAUGAAGAAGAAGAAGAAGAAUGUAACAAAGGAGGGGUGGAAGAGGAGAAGAGGAGGAAGGGGAAGAGAAUUGGUUGUAAUAUAGAGGAGAGGGUGACUUCAGGAGUCAAAGCUUAACUAAAGAAGAAAGAGUCAUGACGUCUGUGCAGCUAGUACGAUUCUGGGCAAGUUCUGGAGACAUGGUCAGGAGCCUCUCCAUGGCCAAGACUCUUGUCUUUUGCUUUGUGUGGUCUGUGAUAGUUCUCAGUACCUCGCUGCAGCUAUAAUAAAUGCAUAUGAAGAGACCCCA